GGGUAGCCGCGGGGGGCCAGCGCGCGCGUCGCUCUCACGCGCUCUGCUCCGCCUGUCCCGCCCCGCCCCUCUUUCCCUCCCUGUGGUCCUGACACGCGCAGCGGUGUCACGCGCGAGGGGCGCUCCCGGGGUCUCGAGGACCAGAGGCUCGUCCGCGCGCUGCCCGAAGCCCCCGCGCGACCCACGCUCGUGGAGCCCGGGGUAUAUUGGUUUGAAAAGGGAACAUCACAAGCCACCCAAGAGUGAAGUCUGAUAAGAAAAAUCAGCUGGUGGAGCAGCCAUGCCCCACUUCUUGGAUUGGUUCGUGCCAGUGUAUCUGAUGAUCUCCAUUCUCAUCUUGGUGGGCUUCGGAGCUUGCAUAUACUACUUUGAGCCGGGCCUACAGGAGGCCCACAAGUGGCGGACGCAAAGGCCGAUCAUGGAACGAGAUCUUCGGAAAACACUGAUGAUACGGGAUAACCUUGCCUUUGGGGUGCCUGAGGUCUAGUAUUCUGUGUGUGGGGUGUUUCUAGAGCCAAACAGAGCCUUUUCUGGAUGGGCCCUGGCUAACAAGAUUUGGUCUGGAUGCACAUUUCUCCUUACUCAGGAGAGAAUCUUCUACUGUCUAGUGACUGAAGAAGGGUAGUUUUACUCUUUGCUGACACGGGUCUCGGUUAAUCACCAGAGUUACCUCUUUUUUCCCCCAUCAUCUUCUCCCUUUCUAAGGCAAGGUUUGUGCGCCUCUAUUAACUCAAGGCUUUCAGGUCUACCCUAGACAAGAUAUUCAUCACUCAGCAAAGGAUCUCCUGCACCACUCCAUGACCUGGAUUUUUGGAUCCACCAAAGGUAAAGGUCUCUGUUAUUCAUUAUCCAAUGGAGGAUACCUGUGCCUAUACAUUACCUUUAAAAAAAAUUCUUAUGGGCACCAGAUCAUAAUAGAUAGACUUGAUAUGGGACAUAGAUCCUUUAACUGCUAGGUCACUGGUUUAAAUCUAGCCCAAUUUGCUAGGGUCUGAAAGGUGUCAUCAUCGAAUGCCUCUUUGGUGACUUACGUAAAAUGAAUUUGGUGGGUCUCAGGCCAGUUCUUCGUGGAUAACUGCAUAUCACAGAAAUCACCAAUGCCACUGAAUUGCCACCUGUGCUGGGAGUCUCAUUAGGGAAGCCACAGAUUGAAUGAGCCAUGGAGAGUGAAUUCCCUACUCACCCCUAGAGGUGAUCUUCCCAGUUCAGGAGUGAGACACACAGGAGGGGCAAUGGGAGUAAAGAUUGCUUUAUUGGUGCCCAUGUUGUACCUGUUUCGGGGAUAGAGGACAUCAGUCUCCAGGGCUGUCAAUCUGGUACUUUUAUAGAAUCAUAGAAGAUUAGGAUUGGAAGAGACCUCAGGAGGUCAUCUAGUCCAACCCCCUGCUCAAAGCAGGACAAACUUUCAUGAGCACUAAAUUCACACACAAUUUUCAGCUAAGGAGGUCUGUGUUGAUCCUGCCAGGAAAUCUCUUGCACCUCUCCUUGCCCCAGGGCUCUGGAUUUAUCGCAUAGGCCUCAACAGAUUCAUUGGACCUUCUGCACCUGUCCAUGACCCAGGGAUCAAGGGUCCUUUAUUAUGAAUAGAUUUGCACUCGUUCAGUCCUCUGUCUACAGCAUUUUUUGAAAUGGAUCCCUUAGUGCAUCAGUUCUGGUGCUGCACCCUCUUGACUGUCAUCCACAUUGAAAACUGUGAAAUGCUCCUUGGAGAACCCUUCACUGUGAAUCUCCGGUAAGGGACGCUGAGCCAGACAGGUGGAGAUGGGGCACUACUAAUGACUGUGCUUUCUAGAUCCCACCUGUAUACCAUAUAAUGUGUAUAUGUACACUGUUUUUGCACUUUCCUCCACUCUUCCCUAGGGCUGAUUUGCUAACAAAGUACUGUAAGAAAAUGUGACUCCAUGGGAGAGUGGGAAUCCAGCACCUUUUUCUUCAUUGCGAACAAUGUGCAAAUCAUAGCAGAUAACACUGGCCCAACUCAGAGCCUAUGACUUAAGGUAUUCCACAACAGGUACUACUGUGCCACACCUGCUUAGAAAUCUAGUAAGACACUGGCUCCUGUUCCAUGGUGCUUUGUAUCUCUGCUGAUCCAUCAUGCCCCUGACUGUUUCUCACUUACUCUGCUAACAUGCCCCUGCUACCCCAUUGUCCUCAUUUCUAUACAUUAUAUAUUAUAAAACUCCACUCUUGACCAGUCACGCCCAGUUAUCUACAUUCCAUACAGUACCACUGUCGUAUGGCACCACUGUGCCAUUGUCAGUGCAUUCCAUACCAGGGCAGCAUAACCAUGGCCACCUUUUGAUAUACCCUGCUGCAUAUUUGAUGAUAUUAUUACACAGCCAUUGUUGCCCUAUCGGCCACCCUUCUGUACAUUCUAUAUCAUUGUAACACAGUCCCUGCUGCCCUACUGUGCACAUGUCUGUACAUUCCAUACCAUAUGCACACACAAAGUGUUGCUGUUUUGUACAUACUUCAGUACAUUCCAUACCAGCAGACUGCUCUUGGUGCUGGUUCAGUGCCACGUUCCCUGAUGGCUCCACUGUGCAGCAGGAGCCAUUAGACGCAAGGGUGCACACAGGCUCCUCCCCUCCUCAUGGCUGCUGGAUCAGCUCACAACAUAUAGUCCCUAGGAUGAGAGUUUUGGAGCCAGUGAUAAUUUUCACUGGAAACUGUUGACAGCUUUUUCAUCCAUUACUGAAUGAAGGAUGGAGAACAUCUUAUGUCGAUUUAAGUGGGUGACUUGUCAUUGGGGGUUGCUUGGGGAAUAACGUUUGUUAGCAGUGAUGGCUGUGGUACAAAUGGAAACUGUCCUCAACACCUGGCAAAUGUCGUUGGCCUUUAUUGGCUAUUUCAUCUGCCCAGGUCAGAUAAGGCAUCAUCACCCACACCAAGGUCCCAACUGAUGGGACCUUCUUGGGUCUGUCAAUGCGGGACAGUUGAGUCCCUACAUUCAGACUGGAACAUGGUGAUCUUGAUGCAGAUAUCAUAACAUGGGACCUGAUUCAGCAAGGUACUGAAGCAUGUGCCUAAAUGUACGCACACGAGUUAUCCUACAUGCUUCAGUACCUUGCUGAAUCAAGGCUGUGAAAGUGCAAAUGUCACAGUGCAGAUGAUUUUGUUCCUCAGUAUGAAUACAGAUAAAUGGCAGCCCUCAAUCACAUUGACAAUAUCUAUUGCCCAAAGGUCACUCAAAUUAAUAAAGCCAUAGUCUCUGAGUGUCAAUUUAGAGACCUGCUUCUUGGGCCUUGACUGUUGUAACCUGGUGGGUAGGCCACCAAUGCAAAUGGACCCCAGGUUGAGCAACGGGGUAGCAAUAAAAACCCUUUUCACUAGAGGUCGGGAGCUCAGAGAUGUCAGGGACAGGUUAAAAUAUCCCCAUAAGACUGAGGUUCCAUGUUUUGAAAAGACUCAAGAUAAGGAAAUCUCUCUCUCUCUUUCUUUCUCUAUGAAAGAAUCCCUAUUACUGUGUGUAUGGCAGUCAUCCCAAAGGUGCAGUCUGCCCUCCAGAAAUGGCUGGGAGCCAAUUCAACCACCCACUUACAGUCAAAGGUCUAACAGUUCCUAUGGAAAAGGUCAGGAAGGACCCAACCACAGAGACUGACCUCUCCUCUCCACCUCCAGCCCUGGAUGUAUGUAUGUUGUCAGGAAGUGAUGGGGAGUUUGUACUGUGCUCCAACUGUCCAUGGGCGGGGGGGUGGG